UAUAUUAAAGUUGUUGCAGAUAAAAAGCUCGUAGUCGCAUUUCUGGCGAGAGGAUCCGGUCCGACCUUUUGGUGGGUUCUUGGGUCUCUUUCGCCAUCCUUGAGUGGUCCGUUCUGGCAUUAAGUUGACGGAGAGUCAGCCGCUCAUCGUUUACUGUGAGAAAAUUAGAGUGUUCAAAGCAGGCUUAUGCCGUUGAAUAUAUUAGCAUGGAAUAAUAAGAUAGGACCACGGUACUAUUUUGUUGGUUUGCGCACCAAGGUAAUGAUGAAUAGGGACAGUUGGGGGUAUUUGUAUUUCGUUGUCAGAGGUGAAAUUCUUAGAUUUACGAAAGACAAACUACUGCGAAAGCAUUUACCAAGGAUGUUUUCAUUGAUCAAGAACGAAAGUAUGGGGAUCGAAGAU
rnacentral:rRNA from 1 species